GCUCGUCAAAAUACGGCACAACUCGUAAAAAUACUCAGCGAUACUACACAUUAAAACGUCUAAUGAGAUAUAUAGAUUCCAUAUUUUACCUCAAACGUGUGCGAAUAUUUUACACUGUAUUCGAUUUUUAGAGGGAAAAAAUCGGUAGACUGCCCGUAGCAUUCUUAUUUUUCUGUGUUCGUCUGCUGAUUAUCUGUUUGUCCCAUGAAAACUGUGAUAAACAAGAGAGCUGUGCAGAAGGGGGUAGAAGGCGGGGAAAAUGAUGAGAUUUUUUGCUCGCCUUGCCCUCAACCUAACCCCUUAGUAGUUGGUGGCUGGUUCUCACUGUGUAGGUUGCAUUGUUAGUUCAAGGUUUUCCCUAGGGUUUUAACAUCCAAAGCGGACUGGUUAUCGUAUUAAUCCAAAGAAUAACUUAUUUCAACUUGUUUGAUAGAAGCGCUAAAAUUAAGUUCAUGUUUAUAGAUUUGAUUAUAUUUACAUACCCAAAAUAAUCAUUAUUCAAGUCUUCACUCUCAAUUGUACUGUUUCGUAUUAAACAGUGACAUUCUGAUUCAGCAGUGGUGCCAAUUAUUGUUUAUGCAAACAAAAGGCAAGUUUUUUCCAGCUCCCUACCCGCCUCCCUUUCUCUCGUCAUGACCCAGUGUAUGAGCGUCUAGUUGGUGUGUUUGUUGCAUACGUCACAGUUCAGGUUGGAAAAGUUUGCUUGAAAGGCCGACGUGCCUAUCUACCGAAGCAGAUACCGAUCCCUGCCGUACAGAACUGGGCGUUUCUUCUGAAAUAUUCAGCUAGUUAUUGUUUUACGAUCCCGUGCAUUAAAAACUCUACGUUGUGCGCUUCUAACAUUUCCUCAGAGGAUUGCACACAACUGGAAGACGAUAGGUUGUACCAAUGGUGUAAGCAAGAGGAACGCCUUUGCUAGGAAGAGCCUUUUUUCUUUUUAACCUCAAGAAAUCUUUAAAGAUAACCUUUCCCAAAUUAUUGUGUCACUCACUAAUUUGCAUGAUGCUCAAAUGACGACAUUUUCCCACCGACUUGUCAAGAAAUGUACUUCAGUCAGCGAGUAACAAUUCGUCCAGGAAGCUAAUUCUAAUACUGUCCACGAGACAGGAUUCUUUACACAUCAGCGGUUGCUAUAACUGGUGAAAGGUACUUUAUGUAACAAAGAUUAUGUAACAACCCCUGUAUCAGCAACAAACAUGGCUUCCCGAGUUUCAGGUACAUUUCAUUCCAUUUUGUCGUGCAUCCAUAGAAAUAAAACAUAUGUGAAGUUACAAGGCUACGUCCCCUUCACACUCGAAUACCGUAUGCUAUGCACCUGGGAACGGAGUAUAAAGGUGAAGGACUGCUAUCUUAUAUUGGGAGUAGAUUGGAGUGCCACUGUCAUUGAUGUUCGAGAGGCUUAUCUGAAGCUCGCCAAGGUAUAUCACCCGGAUUGUGGGAGAAGUACGGCCGAUGCCACAGAGUUUUCCAAAAUAGAACAGGCUUAUAGAGUGGUCAUGGAUCAUGUAACACGUACGUCCCAGAAAGGCUCAGAAGUAAGCGAUCAAGAGUUCGAAAAAGAGAUCUUCGAUAUUCAUCACACGGCACCGCAACAUAGGCAAUACCUGGAAUAUGGGGGAAUUGGAUUUGGCUCACCCUCCAAGAGACAGAAGCAGUAUCAACAGCACCGAGUGCAGAGAGCUUCAGACAAAGUGAUUGAUCAUAAAUAUGGGCAUUUGGGAGAGCAAGAAACAUCCAUUGCAGAACCUGAAAAAAGGGCUAUACGAAGGUCAAAGCACUCCAAAGUCAUAGACAGAUUAGUAGAGGACCUCAUUCAGGAAGCCAUGUCUAAGGGAGAAUUUAAAAACUUAGCGGGAAGUGGAAAACCACUGAAACUGGAGCAGGAUGUGUAUAUUGAUUCAACCACUCGAAGGCUCAAUAAAGUACUGAUAGAUUCAGGAUUUGCACCUGAGUGGAUUGCGCUUGAAAAAGAGAUCAGACUUGAUAUUGAGAGGCACAGAGAGAAUCUUUUGCAGAAACGAAAGAAACUGGGACCUAGUCCUUUGACUCUGCUUUCAACCAAUCAAUGGGAGCGUCAUCUGAAGAAGGCGAGUAUACCGAAGGCCAAGAUCAGCCAAUUACUGGCUCGGUAAAAUGGUUUAAUGUUGCCAAAGGGUUCGGUUUUAUUACAAGAGACGAUGCGAAAGGAGAUGUCUUUGUUCACCAGAGCGCCAUAAAAUCGAAAGGAUACCGUAGCCUCGAGGAAGGGGAAAAAGUUAAGUUCAAAACUGUCAGUUCAGAUAAAGGAACGAU
rnacentral:misc_RNA from 1 species